CCGAGCCUUCGCCUUCGCUUCGCCUUCGCUUCACACUUCUGGUUCGCCCAUCUCGCCUUCGGCUCGGCAUCAUUAGGGACCGAACCUCGGCCUUUUCUCCCGGUUUUCGACUAAUUUUGCGUUUUAGGCCCGUUUUUAAUUAUUUUAACACGGGAUUUUCACCCAAAACUUUAUUUUAACAUAUAAGACCCCUUAAUUAAUUAUUAAUCACGUUUUAAGGAUUAAACCUUAUCCAAAAGAGAGUAGGCGAAGUACAAAGGUAGAGUGUUGACUUUCCUUUAUUUUAUGACACAAGCAACCCCAUACCCACUCCAUGCCUAACCCACACUCCUCCACACCAUACCUUGUCACUUCCUUGUACUUUUUACCUCUCUCACAAGCCAUCCCCAUGUUUUUAGGGCUGGUCACUCAACCUGUCACCUCAUUUUCUUUCAAUUACUCUCAUUUCACCAAAGAUUCAACUCCAACUUUUCCCUCAAACUUUUCUCUCUAAUUCGAGAUCCCAAGGCUGAUCAUCAAGUGUUCUUCCAUUCUUGGUAAGUAUAAUUCAUCCUCCUUGUGAUUAUUGCACUUCAUUCUACUCAAAUCAUUGAUUGCUUACACAAACUCCAUAAUUAUGAUGUUAGAUUCUCGAAAAUCUUAAAGGCAUCUCCAAGUGUUCUUGAGUUAAACACUUCCAUUCUUCAACAAUCAUCUACUGAAAUCACUUAAGGUGAGUUCAUACCCCUACAUUUUCAUGUUUUCUCAAGUUUUUAGGGGGGGAAUACAAGUUAAAACACCAAGAACAUAACUAAACUUUUCUAACAGCCUUCAUCAGAAAAGUUCAACUCCAUUCACGGACUGUUUUGGACCACUUAAAUAUUUUAGUUUUCAAAACUGUUUUAGGUUUUAGUAGAUCCACUUCUUAGCUUUAAAAUGACUACUUGCACAUCUACAUACGAUCUUUCUACAAUUUAUGGUGAUUUUUACAAAACUGCCUAUCAUUUCAAACAUCAAUCCAGACCAGUCUGUGAUUAUGGACUUUUUCAAACAAGUAAGAGGUCAUUAAAAUUUAUAAUAAAAAUUAUGAACAAACUAGACUGAUUUUCCNGUGAAAUCUCUCCCAAAUCUCUCCAAGAAUGUGAAAUCUCUCCCAAAUCUCUCUCAAAAGUUUCCGUAACUUUUUGAAGUCAUUCGGGUCAUUCCGACCCUUGACCGGGUCGAAAAAGGCUUAAAACGGGGCAAAAACGGACAAAAAGGGCUUAAGGACCCAAAACCCCUCUUAAGGACCCGAAACCCCUCUUAGGGCCGAAAGUCCUCUUAGGGACCGAANNNNNNNNNNNNNNNNGCUGAACCGAACCCGAAAGGUCCUCUCGGGCCCGAACCUCGCCUACACACCCGAACCCAAACCUUCGGUCCAUUUCGGAUCCUGAUGCCUUGACCGAGCCCUUGCUUCUGAGCCUUUGACCGAGCCUUCGCCUUCGCUUCACACUUCUGGUUCGCCCAUCUCGCCUCCGGCUCGGCAUCAUUAGGGACCGAACCUCGGCCUAGGACUGAGAGGUCUCGCUGGAAGUCGUUUUUCUCCCGGUUUUCGACUAAUUUUGCGUUUUAGGUCCGUUUUUAAUUAAUUUAACACGGGAGUUUCAUCCAAAACUUUAUUUUAACAU
rnacentral:lncRNA from 1 species